rfam:Ichthyophthirius multifiliis unplaced genomic scaffold scaff_1120509251417, whole genome shotgun sequence.
AGCCCAUUAGUCUAAUGGUAGGACAAGGGAUUCCGGCUCUCUAGGUCGGGGUUCGAUUCCCCGGUGGGUUG